rnacentral:rRNA from 1 species
GAUGAACGCUGGCGGCGUGCCUAAUACAUGCAAGUCGAGCGAACGGACGAGAAGCUUGCUUCUCUGAUGUUAGCGGCGGACGGGUGAGUAACACGUGGAUAACCUACCUAUAAGACUGGGAUAACUUCGGGAAACCGGAGCUAAUACCGGAUAAUAUUUUGAACCGCAUGGUUCAAAAGUGAAAGACGGUCUUGCUGUCACUUAUAGAUGGAUCCGCGCUGCAUUAGCUAGUUGGUAAGGUAACGGCUUACCAAGGCAACGAUGCAUAGCCGACCUGAGAGGGUGAUCGGCCACACUGGAACUGAGACACGGUCCAGACUCCUACGGGAGGCAGCAGUAGGGGAUCUUCCGCAAUGGGCGAAAGCCUGGCGGAGCAACGCCGCGUGAGUGAUGAAGGUCUUCGGAUCGUAAAACUCUGUUAUUAGGGAAGAACAUAUGUGUAAGUAACUGUGCACAUCUUGACGGUACCUAAUCAGAAAGCCACGGCUAACUACGUGCCAGCAGCCGCGGUAAUACGUAGGUGGCAAGCGUUAUCCGGAAUUAUUGGGCGUAAAGCGCGCGUAGGCGGUUUUUUAAGUCUGAUGUGAAAGCCCACGGCUCAACCGUGGAGGGUCAUUGGAAACUGGAAAACUUGAGUGCAGAAGAGGAAAGUGGAAUUCCAUGUGUAGCGGUGAAAUGCGCAGAGAUAUGGAGGAACACCAGUGGCGAAGGCGACUUUCUGGUCUGUAACUGACGCUGAUGUGCGAAAGCGUGGGGAUCAAACAGGAUUAGAUACCCUGGUAGUCCACGCCGUAAACGAUGAGUGCUAAGUGUUAGGGGGUUUCCGCCCCUUAGUGCUGCAGCUAACGCAUUAAGCACUCCGCCUGGGGAGUACGACCGCAAGGUUGAAACUCAAAGGAAUUGACGGGGAUCCGCACAAGCGGUGGAGCAUGUGGUUUAAUUCGAAGCAACGCGAAGAACCUUACCAAAUCUUGACAUCCUUUGACAACUCUAGAGAUAGAGCCUUCCCCUUCGGGGGACAAAGUGACAGGUGGUGCAUGGUUGUCGUCAGCUCGUGUCGUGAGAUGUUGGGUUAAGUCCCGCAACGAGCGCAACCCUUAAGCUUAGUUGCCAUCAUUAAGUUGGGCACUCUAAGUUGACUGCCGGUGACAAACCGGAGGAAGGUGGGGAUGACGUCAAAUCAUCAUGCCCCUUAUGAUUUGGGCUACACACGUGCUACAAUGGACAAUACAAAGGGCAGCGAAACCGCGAGGUCAAGCAAAUCCCAUAAAGUUGUUCUCAGUUCGGAUUGUAGUCUGCAACUCGACUACAUGAAGCUGGAAUCGCUAGUAAUCGUAGAUCAGCAUGCUACGGUGAAUACGUUCCCGGGUCU